rnacentral:piRNA from 1 species
CUGGUAGAAUCUUUGAUGCUG